AUACGUAGGGUGCGAGCGUUGUCCGGAAUUACUGGGCGUAAAGAGCUCGUAGGUGGUUUGUCGCGUCGUCUGUGAAAUUCCGGGGCUUAACUCCGGGCGUGCAGGCGAUACGGGCAUAACUUGAGUACUGUAGGGGAGACUGGAAUUCCUGGUGUAGCGGUGAAAUGCGCAGAUAUCAGGAGGAACACCGGUGGCGAAGGGGGGUCUCUGGGCAGUAACUGACGCUGAGGAGCGAAAGCAUGGGUAGCGAACAGGAUUAGAUCCCCUGGUAGUCCAUGCCGUAAACGGUGGGCGCUAGGUGUAGGGGUCUUCCACGACUUCUGUGCCGUAGCUAACGCAUUAAGCGCCCCGCCUGGGGAGUACGGCCGCAAG
rnacentral:rRNA from 1 species